AGAGUUUGAUCCUGGCUCAGGAUAAACGCUGGCGGCGUGCAUGAGACAUGCAAGUCGAACGGUCAAUCGGGCUUGCUCGAUUGAUAGUGGCGGACGGCUGAGUAACGCGUAGGUGACCUGCCCCGAAGUGGGGAAUAACUGCCCGAAAGGGUGGCUAAUACCGCAUGUGGUGCUACGUUCAUUCGUAGUUCCAAAGCCGAAAGGCGCUUCGGGAGGGGCCUGCGUCCGAUUAGCUCGUUGGUGGGGUAACGGCUCACCAAGGCGACGAUCGGUAGGUGGUCUGAGAGGACGAUCACCCAGACUGGGACUGAGACACGGCCCAGACUCCUACGGGAGGCAGCAGUCGGGAAUUUUGGGCAAUGGGCGAAAGCCUGACCCAGCAACGCCGCGUGAGGGAUGAAGGCCUUCGGGUCGUAAACCUCUUUUAUCAGGGACGAUAAUGACGGUACCUGAUGAAUAAGCCACGGCUAACUACGUGCCAGCAGCCGCGGUAAUACGUAGGUGGCGAGCGUUGUCCGGAUUUACUGGGCGUAAAGAGCGCGCAGGCGGUCGAUUUAGUCGAGUGUGAAAGCCCCCGGCUCAACUGGGGAGGGUCACUCGAUACUGAUCGACUCGAAGGCGGGAGAGGGAAGCGGAAUUCCCGGUGUAGUGGUGAAAUGCGUAGAUAUCGGGAGGAACACCAGUGGCGAAGGCGGCUUCCUGGCCUGUUCUUGACGCUGAGGCGCGAAAGCUAGGGGAGCAAACGGGAUUAGAUACCCCGGUAGUCCUAGCCGUAAACGAUGGACACUAGGUGUUGGUGGUAUCAACCCCGCCAGUGCCGAAGCUAACGCAUUAAGUGUCCCGCCUGGGGAGUACGGCCGCAAGGCUAAAACUCAAAGGAAUUGACGGGGGCCCGCACAA
rnacentral:rRNA from 1 species